AGUGGAUGGGGAGCAACCUAGUUGUGCGUGUGUAAAGGUAGUGCCAAGAAAAGCGAUGAUCAUGUUGAAAAUCAAUUCCCGGUACCCGAAACCGACACAGGUGGGCAAGUAGAGAAUACUAAGGGGCGCGAGGUAACUCUCUCCAAGGAACUCGGCAAAAUGACCCCGUAACUUAGGGAGAAGGGGUGCCACCGAGAGGUGGUCGCAGUGAAGAGGCCCAGGCGACUGUUUAGCAAAAACAUAGGUCUCUGCAAACUCGAAAGAGGAGGUAUAGGGGCUGACGCCUGCCCAGUGCCGGAAGGUUAAAGAAGUUGGUCAGUUUUAGGAUGAAGCUAGCGACUGAAGCCCCGGUGAACGGCGGCCGUAACUAUAACGGUCCUAAGGUAGCGAAAUUCCUUGUCGGGUAAGUUCCGACCCGCACGAAAGGCGUAACGAUCUGGGCGCUGUCUCGGAGAGAGGCUCGGCGAAAUAGGAUUGUCUGUGAAGAUACGGACUACCUGCAUUUGGACAGAAAGACCCUAUGAAGCUUUACUAUAGCUUGGAAUUGUGUUCGGGCUUCCUGUGCGCAGGAUAGGUGGGAGGCGUAGAAGGUAUUCUUGUGGGGAUACUGGAGCCAACGGUGAGAUACCACUCUCAGGAGGCUAGAAUUCUAACUUAAUUAAGGACAGUUUCAGGUGGGUAGUUUGACUGGGGCGGUCGCCUCCAAAAAGGUAACGGAGGCGUACAAAGGUUCCCUCAGACUGGUUGGAAAUCAGUCGAAGAGUGCAAAGGCAGAAGGGAGCUUGACUGCGAGAAGUACAGUUCGAGCAGGGUGGAAACACGGUCUUAGUGAUCCGACGGUGCUGUGUGGAAGGGCCGUCGCUCAACGGAUAAAAGUUACUCUAGGAUAACAGGCUGAUCUCCCCCAAGAGUUCACAUCGACGGGGAGGUUUGGCACCUCGAUGUCGGCUCAUCGCAACCUGGGGCGGAAGUACGUCCCAAGGGUUGGGCUGUUCGCCCAUUAAAGCGGUACGUGAGCUGGGUUCAGAACGUCGUGAGACAGUUCGGUCCAUAUCCGAUGUAGGCGUGAGAAUAUUGAGAGGAGCCUUCCUUAGUACGAGAGGACCGGGAAGGACGCACCGCUGGUGUACCUGUUAUGAUGCCAAUUGUAAACGCAGGGUAGCCAAGUGCGGAGAGGAUAACCGCUGAAAGCAUCUAAGUGGGAAGCCCACCUCAAGAUGAGUAUUCUGGUGUAAGGUCACGGGAAGACGACCCGUAAAUAGGCACGAGGUGGAAGUGCAGAGAUGUAUGAAGCCGAAGUGUACUAAUAGACCGUCGGCUUGACCAG
rnacentral:rRNA from 1 species